GGCGGCAUGCCUUACACAUGCAAGUCGAACGGCAGCACGGCGUGCUUGCACCUGGUGGCGAGUGGCGAACGGGUGAGUAAUAUAUCUGGAACGUACCCUAGAGUGGGGGAUAACGCAGCGAAAGUUGCGCUAAUACCGCAUACGAUCUACGGAUGAAAGUGGGGGAUCGCAAGACCUCAUGCUCAUGGAGCGGCCGAUAUCUGAUUAGCUAGUUGGUGGGGUAAAAGCCUACCAAGGCAUCGAUCAGUAGCUGGUCUGAGAGGACGACCAGCCACACUGGAACUGAGACACGGUCCAGACUCCUACGGGAGGCAGCAGUGGGGAAUUUUGGACAAUGGGCGCAAGCCUGAUCCAGCAAUGCCGCGUGAGUGAAGAAGGCCUUCGGGUUGUAAAGCUCUUUUGUCAGGGAAGAAACGGUGAGGGCUAAUAUCCUUUGCUAAUGACGGUACCUGAAGAAUAAGCACCGGCUAACUACGUGCCAGCAGCCGCGGUAAUACGUAGGGUGCAAGCGUUAAUCGGAAUUACUGGGCGUAAAGCGUGCGCAGGCGGUUAUGUAAGUCAGAUGUGAAAUCCCCGGGCUCAACCUGGGAAUGGCAUUUGAGACUGCAUGGCUAGAGUGUGUCAGAGGGGGGUAGAAUUCCACGUGUAGCAGUGAAAUGCGUAGAGAUGUGGAGGAAUACCGAUGGCGAAGGCAGCCCCCUGGGAUAACACUGACGCUCAUGCACGAUAGCCACGAAAGCGUGGGGAGCAAACAGGAUUAGAUACCGUGGUAGUCCACGCCCUAAACGAUGUCUACUAGUUGUCGGGACUUAAUUGUCUUGGUAACGCAGCUAACGCGUGAAGUAGACCGCCUGGGGAGUACGGUCGCAAGAUUAAAACUCAAAGGAAUCGACGGGGACCCGCACAAGCGGUGGAUGAUGUGGAUUAAUUCGAUGCAACGCGAAAAACCUUACCUACCCUUGACAUGUACGGAACCUCUGAGAGAUUAGAGGGUGCUCGAAAGAGAGCCGUAACACAGGUGCUGCAUGGCUGUCGUCAGCUCGUGUCGUGAGAUGUUGGGUUAAGUCCCGCAACGAGCGCAACCCUUGUCAUUAGUUGUUACGAAAGGGCACUGUAAUGAGACUGCCGGUGACAAACCGGAGGAAGGUGGGGAUGACGUCAAGUCCUCAUGGCCCUUAUGGGUAGGGCUUCACACGUCAUACAAUGGUACAUACAGAGGGCCGCCAACCCGCGAGGGGGAGCUAAUCCCAGAAAGUGUAUCGUAGUCCGGAUUGUAGUCUGCAACUCGACUACAUGAAGUUGGAAUCGCUAGUAAUCGCGGAUCAGCAUGUCGCGGUGAAUACGUUCCCGGGUCUUGUACACACCGCCCGUCACACCAUGGGAGCGGGUUUCACCAGAAGUAGGUAGCCUAACCGCAAGGAGGGCGCUUACCACGGUGGGAUUCGUGACUGGGGUGAAGUCGUAACAAGGUAGCCGU
rnacentral:rRNA from 1 species